AGAACAAGGAAGAGGCUCUAAAGGCAGGCAGACGCUCUGGCAACCUUUGUCAAACUCUGUGGUGGUGUUGGCGUCCCAGAGCUCCGGAGUUGCUUACCCUUCCUGUGUAAGGGCAAUCGGACCCUUUCCGGUGAGGGAACCCUUCUCCAGAUGUGAUCAAGAGAAACUUACGAGGAACUGACUUGAUCUAGCUUACCUUGGGUCACCGAAAGGAUUUGGCAAGUGACAUAAUUAUACCAGCGAUCACUGAAACUGUAAAUUUGGAUGCAAUUAAGAGAGAAAACGCCACACAUUCAUAAAAAUUUAAGGGAUUCCAGAGAUCAGAGUCAGUUCAUCUGGCUUGCAUGAUGAGCCUUUUUACCUAUUUAUUAAACCACCACAAUGGCCCUAAAUUCACACUUUAAAACAGUGAACUGGAGCUAGAGCUGGAGCUUCAUGCUUAAAAUAUUUCUCUACCUUGCCAAAGGCCCUGGAUUCAUUUCCCAACCGGUGAUCUUUAUGGACCUGGAUGCAGAACUCUCAGCUCUUCCUCCUGCACCACGCCUACCUGGAUGCUGCCAUGCUUCCCGCCAUGAGGAUUGGACUGAACCUCUGAACCUGUAUUGUGAAUAAAACAGCAUUGAACAUAGUUAAACAAAUAGCUGUGGAGUAGCUGAAUCAUAUGGACCUGGAGAUGUGGCGUUGCUGUCCAGGCUGAUCUGGAUCCAGAAGCGGAGAGAUCUGAGGGCUCCAGCCAGAGGCCUCAGGACUGGAACCUAAGCUCCCUGCUGGAGCAAGCUGUGCGCUCCCAGACUGCCUCCGGGUGCACACCAGGUCUCCCGCACUUCCUGGAGACCAAGUGCUGUGGCCCAGGAUGUUCAGAUCCCGAAGCAGACACCUGAAGGCUCCUGCCGGCCCGCUGGAUUCACCUGAGCACACUGACUUCUCCCAGCCGGCCUCCCUGAAGCCAAGUUGAGCAUUUUUUUGAGAUGUUUCUCUGCCAUCCGAAAUUCUUCAGCAGACAGAAACAGAAGCAGAUACCCACAGCCAAACAUUAGAUGGAGUUUGGCGACACCUAUGGAAGAAUUGAGAAAAGGAUAGAAGGCCCAGAAGUAAAUGAGACUGCUACAGGAAGACCAACAGAGUCAACAAAUUUGCUCACCUGGAAGCUCUCAGAAUCUGAUCCCCCAACUAAAGGAAAAUACAUGCACUGGAAUGAGGCCUCCAGGUACAUAUGUAGCAGACAAGCACCUCAAUCUUCAUGGCUUCCCUGCCUGGCCUCAGUGGAAGAGGAUGUGCCUAAUCUGGCAGGGACUUGAUGUGCCAGGGUGCGAGGAAUACCUGUAGGGGGUCCCACCCUCUCAGAGGAAAAGGAGUUGGGGAAGUGGUUUAAGGAACUAUGUGAGAGAUUCAUUCUCUCUGCUCAUUCUCUUGUUUGGUUUGGAGGGGUUGUUUUGUUUUGUUUUAAGGCCCAGGCAUUAUGUCAUCAACUUUUUGAGGAGUCUUUUAUCUGCUGAAGUAGAAGUCAGAUAUCAUCUAAUUCUAAAAUGAAGGAAACAUGAAAGUUUAUUACAGAGAAUACAUCUGGCAGGCCUCCCUAUAAGUAUAGCAAACAUGAAAAAGAAACACAGUCAAUUACACCUUAAGGAUAGCAUGGGCAAAUACAGAAACCACAUUGCAGUCAGAUGUGCUUCUAAACCAUUCUCAUGUACUAGCUCAGGAACAACAUGAGCAACCAAAUGCUAUGCCUUAGUCUAUCCAAGAAUCUCUUAAUUUCUAAUAAUACAUACCAAAGUGGUAAUAUCCCUUCAGUUCUGUUCCCAUUUCUAUCUGACAACUGGGCAGGCCCAACUUAUGCAGGCCCAGUGCCAGCAGACACAAGUCGAAUUAUGAGUUCAUGAAUACCAUAGGCAAAUGCCUAGAAUAUGCAAUAUUUCAGCCAUUCUCUCAGUCUUUGACCUAUUAUAUUCUUUCUGUACCUCCUUCUAAAUUGUUCUGUGAACCUUUUAAGGGUGUUAGUAUGUCUUAUUAGAGGUCUGAGUAAUCCUAUGAUGGCCACCUGCUCACUAGUUACACAAAGAUACUGAUGUCUAUUUAGGCUAAAAAAUAUGGAAGUCUCAUCUCAAGAAGGAUGAAUUACAUAGAUCCUGUCAAACAGCAGAGGCCUGUAGGACUAUUGAAAAUCUACAGGUUUAAGUAUACAG